GGACGUUUUUAAACGAAAUUUUAUAACGAGUAUUUAAAAUGCUGAGAGUUAUAAAUGUCCUAAAUCAGGAAACUGUGCUUUAAUAAAAUAAAGCUUUUUGUGCCGUAAAACGUACAAAAUUUGAAAUUUAGUGAAUUGAAUCAUCUUAGUAACUAAAAAAAAAAUCAACCGAGAGACCGUUAGUAGUGGCGAGCAAAAACGGUUAUAGGCUGUCUUUUUAAAACACACAAAUAAAAAAUAUAUUUUUAAUAAUUAAGUAAGCCAAAGAAGGAGAAAUUUCAAUUUAGCCCUGUAAAAAAUAUCUUGUAUGUUGUAUUUUAAAAAGAUUUAAAAGUAAUAUGGUGCAAGUCGCGCAUUGUAUAAAUAAUGGGGGACCACCCUCAAGUCUAAAAAUUUUGAUGCUUGAUAGUGUACAAGUACUGUAAAGGAAAGGUGAAAUUAUUCUUUAAGAAAUUAAAAUAAUUACUGAAAUUUAAUGCUGACAAUCAGUUGAAGCUUAUAAAAAGUGACAACGUACCUUUUGUAUAAUGGGUCAAUGAGUUUAUUUUAGUGGCGAGCUUAAAUUAACAAAUAUGUAGGCAAAAAGAAAUUGAAUUUUAAAUUGUUAUUAAGUCUCUAAAAUAAGACCCGAAACUAAGUGAUCUAACCAUGAACAGGUUGAAUUUAAAGCGGUAACGCUUAUUGGAGGACCGAACUCGUGUAUGUGGAAAAAUACUGGGAUGAUUUGUGGUUAGGGGUGAAAGGCCAAUCAAACUUAGAGAUAGCUGGUUUUCUGCGAAAUCUAUUUAAGUAGAGCGUCUAAAAACUUUAUUUUGUGGUAGAGCACUCGAUAAAUGAUGGGAGCGUAAAGUUUUACUGAAUUUAAAGAAACUCCGAAUACAGAAUAAAAGAAAUUAAACAGACAGACUUUGAAUGCUAAGAUUCACAGUCAAGAGGGAAACAGCCCAGACUAUUCGUUAAGGUCCUUAAAAAUAAUUAAGUGAAAAAAUGUGUAUAAAAUUUAUGACAAUCGGUAGGUAGGCUUGGAAGCAGCCAUCCUUUAAAGAAAGCGUAACAGCUCACUGGUUUAGAUUUUUUGCAAUGAAAAUGUAAAGGGACUAAAAUUAUUUACCGAAACGAUAGAUUUAAAAAUUUAUUUUUAAAUGGUAGCAGAACGUUCUGUAUAUUGAAGAAGAUUUAUGGUAACAUAAAUUGGAAAUAUCAGAAGUGAAAAUAUUGAUAUGAGUAACGAUAAACUGCGUGUAAAACGUUGUCGCCUUAAGUUUAAGGUUUCCAAAGAAAGGCUAAUCCGCUUUGGGUUAAUCGGUCCCUAAGAACAAAACGAAAGUUGUAGUUGAUUUGAUGGGUAAAUAAUUUUAAAAGAUGUGACAAAAUGUAAAAAUUAUUUUUAUUUUUGGUUUAAAUAAAAGUCUUUGAUCGUUUUCAAGAAAUAGCAUCUUUAAUUUUUAAAAACCGUACUGAAAACCGACACAGGUAAACAAAUUGAGUAAAUUAAGGCGCUUGAGAUAAUUAUGUUGAAGGAACUCGGCAAAAUGACUCUGUAACUUCGGGAGAAGGAGUAGCUUAAUGAGGGAAACCUUUUUAAGCUGUCACAAAAUCGAGGACAGCGACUGGUUAAUAAAACCACAGGUCUCUGCUAAAUUGUAAAAUGAUGUAUAGAGACUGACGCCUGCCCGGUGCUGCAAGUAUAAUAGAAAAAGUUUAGGCUUUGACUAGAAAUCCCAGUAAACGGCGGCUGUAACUCUGACGGUCCAAAGGUAGCGAAAUUCCUUGGCAUUUAAUUGGUGUCCUGCAUGAAUGGCGUAACGACUGUCCUACUGUCUCCAACAUAAUCUCAGUGAAAUUGAAUUCUCCGUGAAGAUGCGGAGUUCCUACGGCUAGACGGAAAGACCCCGUGCACCUUUACUAUAGUUAUGUAUUGUAAUAAAAAAUUUUAUAUGUAGUAUAUAUGGGAAGUUGUCAGUAAGUAUUCACGCCAGUGAAUAACUAAAACAUCAGUGAAAUACCAUUUUUAAAAUUUUUUAUUGCUCAUUUUUUAAGACAUUGCAUAAUGGGUAGUUUGACUGGGGCGGUCGCCUCCCAAAUGGUAACGGAGGCGUACAAAGGUUUCCUCUGAACGGGUAGAAAUCGUAUCUAGAGUGUAAAGGCAUAAGGAAGCUUGACUGUGAGACCUACAAGUCGAACAGGGACGAAAGUCGGUCUUAGUGAUCUGACGGUACUGAGUGGAAAGGCCGUCACUCAACGGAUAAAAGUUACUC
rnacentral:rRNA from 1 species